UGAAGGAGAAAUGGGCAUUUCAACAAAGUUUUUAAUGAUGGAUAGUUGUUCUUUCUCUUGGAAUGCAAAGCUGGAUAAAAAUUACGGUCUAAAAAGGGUCUUUUUUUCCUCAAAUAGCAUGAAUUCUAUCCCAUAAUACUCAUCUCCAUCCCCCUUUUUAUUGAUCACUAAGAUAGAGAGAAAUUCCUUUAUAAGAUUUU
rnacentral:lncRNA from 1 species